ACUUUUCAGAGUUACCAGUGGCUUAAUUUCUCAAGCUUUUCUGCAGUUAUAUGCUUGAUUCUGUUUGCAUCCUGGCUUCUCCCAACACAAGGUUACAUUUUUACUGGUGGAUGUAUCAUCCUGUCCUUUGGAGAUCCUCUCAUUAUAAUGUGACUGCUGUUUUUGGAGGGAGACUAUUCAACUUAAAGUCCCAAGCAAAGCAUCCUGUCGACUGAGUCCACAUCUGUCUCUGCUGACAGAUCUGUGAUCUGUCCCUGUCCCCUGGGACCAUCUUCCUUCCUCAGAAGAGAUGCAUCCUGCCUCUGAUCAGGAUCCUCACCAUGGAGACAUGACCUUCGAUAAGGAAGAAGGUUUGGAUCUUAGGCUGCCAAAGCAAUGAAAAUGUCCACUGAACAGACUGGAAGGAUUCUGAACCAUUGCUCCAAAGAGCAUCCUUCCACAGAAUUUUUAGACUAUAAAUAAGAUAGAUUCCUGGCUGUCUGAAAUGCUUAGAUAACAGUUCCUCUGUGAAACAGAGAUGGAUUGAAAUACAAUACGUUCCUGCACUGCGAUCAUCUCCUGAAAUGCCAGAAAUACUUUCGUGUCAAUGUCUUAUCAUAAGAAGCCUGAGAGCUGGAAUCUAGAAUUACAAUUCUUUUUCUUUCCCCCAGGAUCUAGCUACAAAGAUUUGGUAAGGAGAUGCAUUUCCUCCCCCAAGUCGGCUGUCUCCAUUUGUAACUGAUACUACAUACAGCAGGGAAGCAUCUGUGUUUCAGAAAAAUGAUGUGUGGAAACAGUUUUCAAAAAUGCAUGCUUUCUACAUUAAAAAAAAAACA